GACGAACGCUGGCGGCGUGCUUAACACAUGCAAGUCGAACGGAAAGACCCUGCGUUUGUGGGGUGCUCGAUUGGCGAACGGGUGAGUGACACGUGAGUAACCUGCCCUUGACUUUGGGGUAACUUCAGGAAACUGGGGCUAAUACCGCGUAGGAGCUCCUGCUGCAUGGUGGGGGUUGGAAAAUUUCGGCGGUUCGGGCUGGACUCGCGGCUUAUCAGCUUGUUGGUGUGGUAGUGGCUUACCAAGGCUUUGAAGGGUAGCCGGCCUGAGAGGGGGACCGGCGACAUUGGGACUGAGAUACGGCCCAGACUGCUACGGGAGGCAGCAGUGGGGAAUAUUGCACAAUGGGCGCAAGUCUGAUGUAGCAACGCCGCGUGCGGGAUGACGGCUUUCGGGUUGUAAACCGCUUUCGCCUGUGACGAAGCGUGAGUGACGGUAAUGGGUAAAGAAGCACCGGCUAACUACGUG
rnacentral:rRNA from 1 species